GGGGGGAGGGAGAGGGGGGGACCCACGGAUGGAGGGGGUCACGAGUGGGGAACCACGGGGGGGAGAAAAGGGGGGUGACCCACGGGUGGAGGGGGAGGGGGGGUCACGAGUGGGGACCCAGGGGGGGGAGAAAAGGGGGAUUCCCACGGAUGGGGGUGGAGACACGAGUGGGGAACCACGGGGGGGAGAAAAGGGGGGACCCACGGGUGGAGGGGGGGUCACGAGUGGGGACCCACGGAGGGGAGAAAAGGGGGGAAGGGGGGAUCCACGGAUGGAGGGGGGCUCACGAGUGGGGAACCACGGGGGGGAGAAAAGGGGGGGGGGAGGGGGACCCACGGAUGGAGGGAUGGUCACGAGUGGGGACCCACGGAGGGGAGAAAGGCGGGGGAGAUUGGGACUCCCACGGAUGGAGGGGGAGGUGGGGUCACGAGUGGGGAACCACGGAGGGGAAAAAGGGGG
ensembl:lncRNA